UUUAUCUUUUGUUUUUUUAUUUGUCUAAUCAUGAGCAGAAAAGUCCCAGCCGUGUCCUACCAUAUCGAUGGCCCUUGCCCCAUGUGCAAGGCCAUCAAAGACAAGGAAAGGCCAAGAAACCCUCACAGACAAGAGGCACCUGAAUGUAACAUGGUGCCCAGGACAGAUCCUGGAAUGGAGAAAGGACAUUAGGAGAAACUAAGGCUGUGUGAGUUAAUAAUGUUUUUAAAAAUCUGUCACCAGUUCCAGUUGGGUGACAAUGUUCUGCAUCAGGGAUGGUGGCCGGGGGUUGAAGAGACAGAGAGACACUAGGUCACCAAUGCGCAUGAACCCAGGAGGGGACCUUGGCCCUGCUCGACCUCCAGCUGGAACCCCAGGUGUGGGUCCAUCGUCUCCCCGAGGAGCAUGGCCUGAGCCCUCUGACCUGUGAGUCCUGGGUUCCUUGACAAGGGUCAAGCACAGGAUCCAAACUCGUCUCAGGCUGCUUGUUUGAAGCUGUUUAAGACCAACCCGGCACCUCUCAUCCCCUCCUUCCAAAUGGUCGUUUAUUUUAUUUGGCAAGAUUUAAAAACAAUCCCCAUCAUCAUUAAACUCUCCCCUUAAUUAGCAGAGGGGAAAAUGCCAUUAUUGGGAGCAACCUCUCUGCAGCACACUUCUCUCUGUUUGGCAAAUUAAAAGCAUUUGGAUGAAACUCUUCCCUGGUCCCAAUCAAUAGCUCAAGCCAUAAUUAUUCAGCAGUGCUUGCAGUUUUUGAUGCUGACAGCCGGCUGGGUGUGCUGAUCUGUAAUUGUUUCAUAUGCUUCUGUGGCUCGUCUCUUCCCAGGAUUGGGGUCUGCAGUAGACUGAUCAAUAGCAUCUUUGGGGUUGCUGGGGAAUGCACUCGCCAUUAUCUAAACACUCCCAGUGCUCCCCAGUUUUCCCAGAGAGACGUCAACCACAGUUCCAUGGGGCUGGUCUGCAUUUUCCUGCUCAGCCACCUGAGGCAGAGCUGAGCAGCAAUUUGGGGAAGUAGCAAGAAAACAGCAAAUGCCCACUUUAGAGGAUAAUUGUGUAAUAGCAGCUGUAGAUGGUAUAUAAUGGUUACGUGCCAAGGAGCAGUAAACAAUCCAUCUUUCUGCUCAGAAUUCACCGAUUCCGGCAUUACUGAUCAUUUGGAUGGGGCGUGAAUUGUUGAAGUUUAUCUUUUUCUCAAGCAGAUCUUUUCCUAAAGGAAGGUACAACUCCAUGUUGUAAACAAAACUCCAAGGGAGGAUGUUCAAGAUAUCUCAGAGGAUUAAAUUUUCCCAGAUACACACCAACAGCCAAUAUGUCCCCUCCAAAUCCUUCCAGAGGUUGACAGUCGGGACACCAAACCCCAGCCCUGCCUCUUAAUUUCCCUAGACAGAAACACUUACUUAGCUUUCUUUCUUUGUCAGAUUCACUUGGUUUUGUUAGUCUAUAAAAUAGAAAUGUGGCCAUUCAACUUCAUAGGAUGCUGUAAGAAUAAAUAAGAGGUUCAACGGUGACUUUUAAAUAUAAAAAUGAGUAUGUCCAUUCAUUAUUUCAUACAUUGAACAUUAAAUUAAAGAGUAUAUUUUAUUAUUUUCCUUUUUUUGUUUUGUUUUGUUUUGGGUACUGGGGAUUGAACUCAGUACCAAAAACAAAACACUGAGCCAUAUCCC
rnacentral:lncRNA from 1 species